rnacentral:tRNA from 1 species
GCAGGUGUAGUUCAAUGGUAGAACUUCAGCCUUCCAAGCUGACUAUGAGAGUUCGAUUCUCUUCACCUGCUCCA